UACGGGGGGAGCAAGCGUUGUUCGGAUUUACUGGGCGUAAAGGGCGCGUAGGCGGCCAGCACAAGUCAGUUGUGAAAUCUCCGAGCUUAACUCGGAAAGGUCAACUGAUACUGUGCGGCUAGAGUGCAGAAGGGGCAACUGGAAUUCUUGGUGUAGCGGUGAAAUGCGCAGAUAUCAGGAGGAACACCCGUAGCGAAGGCGGCACUCUGGGCCGAUACUGACACUGAGGAGCGAAAGCCGUGGGGAGCGAACAGG
rnacentral:rRNA from 1 species